rnacentral:rRNA from 1 species
AACGAACGCUGGCGGCAUGCCUAACACAUGCAAGUCGAACGAGAUCUUCGGGUCUAGUGGCGCACGGGUGCGUAACGCGUGGGAAUCUGCCCUUUGGUUCGGAAUAACAGUUGGAAACGACUGCUAAUACCGGAUGAUGACGAAAGUCCAAAGAUUUAUUGCCAGAGGAUGAGCCCGCGUAGGAUUAGCUAGUUGGUGUGGUAAAGGCGCACCAAGGCGACGAUCCUUAGCUGGUCUGAGAGGAUGAACAGCCACACUGGGACUGAGACACGGCCCAGACUCCUACGGGAGGCAGCAGUGGGGAAUAUUGGACAAUGGGCGAAAGCCUGAUCCAGCAAUGCCGCGUGAGUGAUGAAGGCCUUAGGGUUGUAAAGCUCUUUUACCCGGGAUGAUAAUGACAGUACCGGGAGAAUAAGCUCCGGCUAACUCCGUGCCAGCCGCCGCGGUAA